rnacentral:rRNA from 1 species
AAUGGAGGAAACUCUGAUGCAGCGAUGCCGCGUGAGUGAAGAAGGCCCUUGGGUUGUAAAGCUCUUUCGUCGGGGAAGAAAAUGACUGUACCCGAAUAAGAAGGUCCGGCUAGCUUCGUGCCAGCAGCCGCGGUAAUACGAAGGGACCUAGCGUAGUUCGGAAUUACUGGGCUUAAAGAGUUCGUAGGUGGUUGAAAAAGUUAGUGGUGAAAUCCCAGAGCUUAACUCUGGAACUGCCAUUAAAACUUUUCAGCUAGAGUAUGAUAGAGGAAAGCAGAAUUUCUAGUGUAGAGGUGAAAUUCGUAGAUAUUAGAAAGAAUACCAAUUGCGAAGGCAGCUUUCUGGAUCAUUACUGACACUGAGGAACGAAAGCAUGGGUAGCGAAGAGGAUU